AGUCGAGCGGACAGAUGGGAGCUUGCUCCCUGAUGUUAGCGGCGGACGGGUGAGUAACACGUGGGUAACCUGCCUGUAAGACUGGGAUAACUCCGGGAAACCGGGGCUAAUACCGGAUGCUUGUUUGAACCGCAUGGUUCAAACAUAAAAGGUGGCUUCGGCUACCACUUACAGAUGGACCCGCGGCGCAUUAGCUAGUUGGUGAGGUAAUGGCUCACCAAGGCAACGAUGCGUAGCCGACCUGAGAGGGUGAUCGGCCACACUGGGACUGAGACACGGCCCAGACUCCUACGGGAGGCAGCAUAGGGAAUCUUCCGCAAUGGACGAAAGUCUGACGGAAAACGCCGCGUGAGUGAUGAAGGUUUUCGUAUCGUAAAGCUCUGUUGUUAGGGAAGAACAAGUACCGUUCAAUAGGGCGGUACCUUGACGGUACCUAACCAGAAUGCCACGCUAACUACAUGCCAUCAGCCCCGGUAAUACGUAGUUGGCAAGCGUUGUCCGAAAUAUUGGGCGUAAAGGGCUCGCAGGGGGCUUCUUAAGUCU
rnacentral:rRNA from 1 species